GACGAACGCUGGCGGCGUGCCUAAUACAUGCAAGUCGAACGCAGUGGGGACGGGUGAGUAACACGUGGGUAACCUCCCAUCAGAGGGGAUAACACUUGGAAACAGGUGCUAAACCGAUACUGAUGGAUGGACUCGCGGUGCUUUAGCUAGUGGGUGAGGUAACGGCUCACCAAGGCCACGAUGCAUAGCUGGCCUGAGAGGGUGAGCGGCCACACUGGGACUGAGACACGGUCCAGACUCCGACGGGAGGCAGCAGUGGGGAAUCUUGGACAAUGGGCGAAAGUCUGACAGAGCAAUGCCGCGUGAGUGAAGAAGGUUUUCGGGUCGUAAAGCUCUUUUGUUAGAGAAGCGGUAUCUAAAGAAGAAGCCACGGCUAACUACGUGCCAGCAGCCGCGGUAAUAC
rnacentral:rRNA from 1 species